GACGAACGCUGGCGGCGUGCUUAACACAUGCAAGUCGAACGAUGAAGCCGGAGCUUGCUCUGGUGAAUUAGUGGCGAACGGGUGAGUAACACGUGAGUAACCUGCCCUUGACUCUGGGAUAACUGCGGGAAACUGUAGCUAAUACCGGAUACGACCCUCGGAGGCAUCUCCUGGGGGUGGAAAGAAUUUCGGUCAAGGAUGGACUCGCGGCCUAUCAGCUAGUUGGUGAGGUAAAGGCUCACCAAGGCGACGACGGGUAGCCGGCCUGAGAGGGGGACCGGCCACACUGGGACUGAGACACGGCCCAGACUCCGGCGGGAGGCAGCAGUGGGGAAUAUUGCACAAUGGGCGCAAGCCUGAUGCAGCAACGCCGCGUGAGGGAUGACGGCCUUCGGGUUGUAAACCUCUUUUAGCAGGGAAGAAGCGAAAGUGACGGUACCUGCAGAAAAAGCACCGGCUAACUACGUGCCAGCCGCCGCAGUAA
rnacentral:rRNA from 1 species